AUCUCUUUGGGAUUGAAUCCAAGGCAAGAAACUUCAAAGCAAUACUUCUCUCGGUGCUGGAAAAGGAGUUUGGGUGGUGGAUUCACUCAUUCUGGCAAGAAGAUCCGAGAACGGACAAAGAGAGAGAUAUAUCG